UACUUUUCUCACAGUCAAAACAGUUAUGUUGAUUCGACUUAAACUUAUUUCGUGACAUUCUGCAGUCUCUUCGUGAGUUACAUCAUGGCAACGGACAAAGGAUGGCCUCCCUUGAACGGACAGACUUUCACGUGGCUGUAACAAAUAUGGUGAAAUGAUCGAUCAACGUGGAAGAGCGGGCGCCUCGUUUAUGGAAAAUAACAACUGAACAGACCGCGGUACACGCCUGCCUUUCCGACUGGAUAGCUCCCCAAUGUUCUUUGGUCCGUUAUGAGACAUCUUCUGAUCCCUUAGAGUCAGCGAAAGUCGUCUGGAAAGCUGUCUAAUGGGAGGAAUGGGGUUGCUGCUCAGAGAAUACCACGGAUGGAAAGGACUAGGAGAGGUAUACGUAGUGAGCAAGUAUGGUCUAGUUUCGCUCGCGCUGAUGGAAGAAGCAGCUGCAAGAUGUAGCCAGAAUUGAGAGCGUACCGAAGGGCAUGGAAUUUGAACAUAACAGUAGAUUCAC